UUUUUUCCUGAGGGCUAAAUUCCCUCUCCACAACUCACGAAAUUCCAGGGCUCAACUGAAUCAAUUCACUUUCUUCUAUCAACUCAAAAUUCCAGGGCUCUAUAGAGUAAAACUCUUUCUUAUUCCAGGACUGCAAUCCGAACGGGAAAGGUACUAUAUGAGGAGGUUUCUCAUUUUUGCAACUGUUGUAUAUUGCAACUGCUGUAUCCAUCUUUGAGCAGGGAAAGACGAAUACAAACACUUUGGGAUGCCUGCUGAAAAACAUGGUGAACAGAUUGAAGGGUGAAUUGAAACCAUGGAUGCAGAGCAACUUAGAUAGUGUGGUGACCAAGAUGGAGAAUUUCGUUGCUGAUUAUUAUAAGAACAUUGAAGACUUCCUAUUCUAAGUCAACUUCAAAUUUUUAUAACCCAUCAAUUUAUUAGCUAGACAAUAGUAGGAUUAAUCUUGUAAUGAAUACAUACAUUUUUAUUAUCCUAGCUAGUUGGUCACUAUAUCAGAUAUCAUAGUUAUGAUACAAAUUUUGUUUAGUUGGAUCUGAGUUUGUAUUGUUUGUUAUUAUGGUUAUUUUUAAUGGAAUUUGACUUUGUUAUAA